UAGCGCGCGCGUGAAUCAUCGAAUCUUUGAACGCAAAUUGUGGUGCCUGGGUAUUCCCGGGCACCAUGCUUGGCUGAGUAUCAUCUGGACAAAUCACACAGAUUUUCUGUGUGGAUAUGAGGCGUCACAUUGCGCAAGCGAUGGGUCCCUUUAAAUUCAGGUAGGUGAAGGAUAUUGGCGUCCUUGAUACCACUAGUGUGGCAAUUGUCCUCUGGGCAUCAAGCACUAUGUCGGGACUUGGGCAUUAAGUCGGUCUCUUUUAACUUUUACUUCAACUCUAUUGAAACUUUGAUCUCAGCUCAAGCAAGACUACCCGCUGAAUUUAAGCAUAUCAAUAAGCGGAGG
rnacentral:rRNA from 1 species